UACGAAGGGGGCUAGCGUUGUUCGGAAUUACUGGGCGUAAAGCGCGCGUAGGCGGUGAUCUUUGUCAGAGGUGAAAGCCCGGGGCUCAACUCCGGAAUUGCCUUUGAAACGGGAUCGCUAGAGUCCGAGAGAGGAUGGCGGAAUUCCUAGUGUAGAGGUGAAAUUCGUAGAUAUUAGGAAGAACACCGGUGGCGAAGGCGGCCAUCUGGCUCGGUACUGACGCUCAGGCGCGAAAGCUAGGGGAGCAAACGGGG
rnacentral:rRNA from 1 species